AAUUAUCUUACAUGUCAGGUUGUCCCCUUGCUUCCUCACGGAUGGCAAGCACCUUUGCUUCAGGAAAUUAUGCGGCGUGACUAUUUAGGACUAUGACCUUUGACAAUUUCGAAACGACUUAUAACUAAACGCAUAAGCAUAAGAACACGUUAACGACGCCUACGUGACUGAGAUGUUACUCUAUUGCACGAAAUAAAGAAAUCGAUUGUUAAGUACAUACACGAGUGGAUGGUUAAAUAAAUGAGUUAAAAAUAUACGAAUUUUUGAAAGGCGACUAUUGAAAUUGAAGAUAAAUGAAAAAGGGAGAAGAAAAAAAAAAAGAAAUUGAGUGAAAAUAGCCGAAUAAGCGGGUAGGAAAUCCGAUAUUGUUUGCCAUUGCAAGCGAUACGGAAGAAGUGGAAGCACGGAAACGUAAUUGGUGUUCCGAAAUAAUUUUAAUUUUACUUUUGUGAAUCGUUAUUGAUUCAUUCUCAAUCGGGAAUGAUAAAGAAUAAGGUACCGAAUAAAAUUACGCGAAUUCGUUUUUA